rnacentral:misc_RNA from 1 species
GUGGAAGCGGGCUUGCUCGCGAAUGCGGUAUGUCAGUCAAAAAUUGUGCUGGUUGACCCACCGCAUUCGCGAGCAAGCCCGCUCCCAC